rnacentral:rRNA from 1 species
UACGUAGGUGGCUAGCGUUGUCCGGAUUUACUGGGCGUAAAGAGCGCGCAGGCGGUCGUUCAAGUCGAGUGUGAAAGCCCCCGGCUCAACUGGGGAGGGUCACUCGAUACUGGAGUACUCGAAGGCAGGAGAGGGAAGUGGAAUUCCCGGUGUAGUGGUGAAAUGCGUAGAUAUCGGGGAGGAACACCAGUGGCGAAGGCGACUUCCUGGCCUGUUCUUGACGCUGAGGCGCGAAAGCUAGGGGAGCAAACGGG